UACAGAGGAUGCAAGCGUUAUCCGGAAUGAUUGGGCGUAAAGCGUCUGUAGGUGGCUUUUUAAGUCCGUCGUCAAAUCCCAGGGCUCAACUCUGGACAGGCGGUGGAAACUACCAAGCUGGAGUACGGUAGGGGCAGAGGGAAUUUCCGGUGGAGCGGUGAAAUGCGUAGAGAUCCGGAGGAACACCAAAGGCGAAGGCAGUGUCCUGGGGAGUACCUGACGCUCAGGUGCGAAAGCCAGGGGAGCGAACGGG
rnacentral:rRNA from 1 species